rnacentral:rRNA from 1 species
AUUGAACGCUGGCGGCAGGCCUAACACAUGCAAGUCGAGCGGCAGCGGGAAAGUAGCUUGCUACUUUUGCCGGCGAGCGGCGGACGGGUGAGUAAUGCCUGGGAAAUUGCCCAGUCGAGGGGGAUAACAGUUGGAAACGACUGCUAAUACCGCAUACGCCCUACGGGGGAAAGCAGGGGACCUUCGGGCCUUGCGCGAUUGGAUAUGCCCAGGUGGGAUUAGCUAGUUGGUGGAGUAAUGGCUCACCAAGGCGACGAUCCCUAGCUGGUCUGAGAGGAUGAUCAGCCACGCUGGAACUGAGACACGGUCCAGCCUCCUACGGGAGGCAGCAGUGGGGAAUAUUGCACAAUGGGGGAAACCCUGAUGCAGCCAUGCCGCGUGUGUGAAGAAGGCCUUCGGGUUGUAAAGCACUUUCAGCGAGGAGGAAAGGUUGAUGCCUAAUACGCAUCAACUGUGACGUUACUCGCAGAAGAAGCACCGGCUAACUCCGUGCCAGCAGCCGCGGUAA